CUCACAUAGAGAGACAGACACAUGCUGAUACUACACAGACAACCCAUCUGACUGAUCACCAGGGCAAAAACCUAGCACAAGCAUUGUUACUGAAAUGCCGUACUUCUGACGUCAUACAGUAAACGAGAUAUUUCUCAAGUAAAUAACAUGCUGGUAACCAACUCCAUAAAAAUUUAGACCUGCAUGUCUCACAUGUUGCUUAGAUCAGUGUUUCCCAACCCAGUCCUCAAGGCACACCUACCAGUCCAGGAUUUAGG